ensembl:lncRNA
GGGGGGGGGGGAUAUUAAAAUGCUGUUUUCCUGAUUGUCAAUGUGGGCAUUGCUGCUGUGUUAUGAGCCAUUGCAGGGUUUUAAUUCAUUUGAAUUAAUUUUUUGUGCUAGGAGAAGAUGGUACAAAACAUGUAACUGAAAAGCCGAAGCCAUUGGAACGACGGCAAAUAUCCACCGGGUCGGCAGGUGAACCCAGUGAACUGCAUAAGUUCAAAGGAUUAAAAGGUUUGCAUCGCCGCACUCAAGCCUCUCCGACUGGACGAUGAAAGCUCUCUGCUGGAUUGGGAGCUUUGAUGUUUGAACCAGAAAAAGCGCUGUUAAACGGGCAAGCGGGUUCACCUGGGUUGGACCACGGCCCUGAGCGUCUGGAAGCCGCACGGAGGCUGCCGGCCUUCCCUCCUCGACAGGGUCUUAACAGAAGGAGCCUCGGUGGGUGUCUGGAGAGGCCAGUUGACUGCUGUCACUCACGGACCUGUUGAGAGAAAUUAAGAGGUGAAUUGUCUUCCACUCUGCAUUCCGGUUACAACCCCCAAACAUGCAGAACCAGUACUGAGCGGAUGAAUUAGUCUGCAGCAGAAAUUCCACUUGCAGGAUGUAAGGUCCUUUUUCA